GGAGUGCAAUGGCACGAUCUUGGCUCACCGCAACCUCAGCUUCUCGGGCUUAAGUGAUUCUCCUGCCUCAGCCUCCCGAAUAGCUGGGAUUACAGGCAGGCACCACCAUGCCUGGCUAAUUUUGUAUUUUUAGUAGAGACGGGGUUUCUCCAUGUUGGUCAGGCUGGUCUCGAACUCCCAACCUUAGGUGAUCCACCCGCCUCAGCCUCCCAAAGUGCUGGGAUUACAGGCAUGAGCCACUGCACCCGGCCAGGAGCCAAUUUCAAUGGGAGUAUCCUUUACUAUCAUUCCUGACCUGUGAUAUUGGCCAUUAGAGCCUUUCAAGAAUGGUACCUCCUGCCGAUGAUUUUUUUUAAAGCCUUAAUGAAGAGAGUGUCCUCUGGAUCCUUCCAGAGAAGAUAGGAUGUGAGUGAGUAAGUUAUGUAUAAUAAUUUCACCCCAAAAUUUCUAUGUCCUUGAUACCAUUCCCUGUAUACCAAGGAAGGGUAUUCUGGCAUUUCACUUUGAUUUAAUAUAAGUAAACCCUGUGUCUGGGCAUUAGUUAACAAACCAAGUGACUACAAGUGAUAAGUAACUUUUACCAUAGACUGUCAAUUACCUUGGCAAUGGAAACAUUAUUGCUUUUUAAUCCAGUCAGAUCAGAGAACAAAUUCCAGAUUUCCAUCCUUAAGAUUCUGUGUCUCUGCUACCACUUCUGGUAGCAAAACAUGUCAGUGUGAGGUAGAGUCAAUGGAAUGUAGCCAUGAAAAAAAAAAUGCUACUACAAACAUUACAGGAAUAAGGAAUUUGAUCGAAGAAUUAGCAUUUACACAAAAUAUGGGAGGAGUUAGGGAAGUGAAAGAAUGAAAGGAGAAAGAGGAUAAAGAAAACACUAACCACAUCACCCUAAAGCCCUUAUUGCUAAAUGAGGUUAUUGUAGUGCCAGUUAAGUCCAGGUCAGCCAAGGCGUGCGUACCCCUUGGCCCCACUUGGAAAGCUGUGUGGAUAUGACUGUUGGAUUAGGGGGUUCUCAAAGCCAAAAUGGAUUUAUCAGCAAUGACCUUACUGCCUGGUACCCAGCUUUGAGAGGACCAAAAACGACGGAUGUGUCUUGCAUUCCCUGGUCCCUCUUUCUUCUUUUACCCAUAUCUAAGUUGUUUAAAGGAGAAAAAUCCUUAGGUUGAAGCCAUAUUCUCUCUAUUCUUGAAGGACCACAGACUCUACGCCCCUGUUGAAAUUUUCUGGAAGCCUAUGGGAAAGGAGGAAUGAAAAGCUUCGUGAUGUCUUUGAAUACAGGAAAUGGCUUAUUGCAAAGAACCACUAGAACUUUCUGAAGCCCGGGAAGUCAAAGAUCAAAGUGCUGGCAGGUCUGGUGUCUGGUGGGGGCACCUUCUCACUGUCCUCACAUGGUAGAAGAAGCAAGGGAAACUCUUGGGCCUCUUUAGAGGUACUAAUCCCACUCAUGAGGCCUUUACCUUCUUGACCUAGUCAUUUUUCAAAGGCUCGACCCAUCAUCAUUCGUAUGUUAGGAUUUCAACGUACAAAUUUGUGGGGUUGGGAGGGAUACAAGCAUUCAGAGCAUAGCACUAUUUUAAUAAUCAUUUCAAAUAGAGUCAUUCUAUACCUAGUCUGGAUUUUUGUUUGUUUUACUUGACCUCAUUCACUUGGGUAGGAAAAAAAUCUCAUGGACUCUCAUUGAUAGCCCCAGGGGUAAGGUUGGGGCAAAAAGAGCAGAGGCACUCAUUUACUGUGAGGUAAGAAAUCUGUUUCAGAUCACCUUGUGUGCAAUUCAGGAUAAAAUUAAUAAAGAUGAAUAGUAAAAAUCCAAUACUAAGAGAUAAAACUCAGGAGUCAAAAGAAGAAAUCAGAAAGAUUAGAGCAUAAUUCAGAAUGUAAUGAAAACAAACUAUGCAUAGAAACUUGUGGUAUUCGGCCAAGACAGCAUGUAGGAGAAAAUGCAAGUAUUACCUUUCUUGCUUGUAUUAGGAUAAAAAGUUGAAAAUUAACAAGCUAAGUAUCUAACUGAAAGAGAAAGAAAGAAAUAAUAAAGGUAACAGCAGAAAUUAAGAAAACAACCAUACUGUAGAAAAAACAAAGCCCAAA
rnacentral:lncRNA from 1 species